GACAGAGGGUGCAAACGUUGUUCGGAAUUACUGGGCGUAAAGGGCGCGUAGGCGGCCUGUUAAGUCGAACGUGAAAUCCCCGGGCUCAACCCGGGAACUGCGUCCGAUACUGGCAGGCUUGAAUUCGGGAGAGGGAUGUGGAAUUCCAGGUGUAGCGGUGAAAUGCGUAGAUAUCUGGAGGAACACCGGUGGCGAAGGCGGCAUCCUGGACCGAUAUUGACGCUGAUGCGCGAAAGCCAGAGGAGCAAACGGG
rnacentral:rRNA from 1 species